ensembl:rRNA 5S_rRNA 5S ribosomal RNA
GUCUACGGCCAUACCACCCUGAACGCGCCCGAUCUCGUCUGAUCUCGGAAGCUAAGCAGGGUCGGGCCUGGUCAGUACUUGGAUGGGAGACCGCCUGGGAAUACCGGGUGCUGUAGGCU